rnacentral:lncRNA from 1 species
AAACCCCCUUUUCACUCAUUUAUUCCCUCAUGAUCCACUAUUCACUCCCAUUGUCCCCAAACCUACCAUCUUUCCCCUUUGAAUUCACUUGGCCGACCAUAGAACCUAAAACCUUCCCCAUUUCAUUUUUAAUUUUUCUUUUUGCUCUCCUCCUCUCCUUUAACUGCACCACCACCCUCCUCCACCAUUUCUUCUCAUUUUUCUUCAAUUUUCACCACCUUUAAAACCCUUUUACCUCUUUUCUCUUCCACUCCACCACCAUACAAGGCCACUGCACUACCACCU